rnacentral:rRNA from 1 species
GACCGGAUGCGGAUCUCGAAAGCCUGUCCCAGUUCGGACUGGAGUCUGCAACCCGACUCCACGAAGUUGGAUUCGCUAGUAAUCGCGCAUCAGCCAUGGCGCGGUGAAUACGUUCCCGGGCCUUGUACACACCGCCCGUCAAGCCAUGGGAGCCGGGGGCGCCUGAAGUCCGGGACCGCGAGGACCGGCCUAGGGCGAAACUGGUAACUGGGGCUAAGUCGUAACAAGGUACC